AGAAUCAACGCUGGCGGCGUGCCUAACACAUGCAAGUCGAACGAGAAAGUGGAGCAAUCCAUGAGUAAAGUGGCGACCGGGUGAGUAACACGUGACUAACCUACCCUACAGUGGGGGAUAACUCCGGGAAACCGGGGCUAAUACCGCAUAACAUCGUAAGAUCAAAGGAGCAAUUCGCUGAAGGAGGGGGUCGCGGCUGAUUAGUUAGUUGGUGAGGUAACGGCUCACCAAGACGAAGAUCAGUAGCCGGCCUGAGAGGGCGCACGGCCACACUGGAACUGAAACACGGUCCAGACUCCUACGGGAGGCAGCAGUGGGAAUUUGCGCAAUGGGGGAAACCCUGACGCAGCAACGCCGCGUGGAGGAUGAAGUCCCUUGGGAUGUAAACUCCUUCGAUCGGGACGAUUAUGACGGUACCGGAAGAAGAAGCACCGGCUAACUCUGCGCCAGCAGCCGC
rnacentral:rRNA from 1 species